rnacentral:rRNA from 1 species
GUUAUAUGGUCAAGAAGAGAAGCGCAAACGGUGGAUGCCUUGGCAGUAAGAGGCGAAGAAGGACGUGGAAUCCUGCGAAAAGCUAUGGGGAGCUGGAAACGAGCGUUGAGCCAUAGAUGUCCGAAUGGGGGAACCCGGCUGCAGUAAUGCGGUCAUUUGCAUUUGAAUACAUAGGAUGCAAAGGCGAACUCGGGGAACUGAAACAUCUAAGUACCCGAAGGAAAAGAAAUCAAGAGAGAUUCUCCAAGUAGCGGCGAGCGAACGGGGAGGAGCCUGGCGUGAUUUAUUAUUGAA